CAUUGAAUGGCUGAAAAAUUUAAAGCAUUGGUCUCUUAAACCACACAAUAGUGUUAAUCACUUUCAAUG
rnacentral:tRNA from 1 species